CGCAGGAGCGCGGGAUGGGGUGGAAGUCGGGUCGAGCCCGAGCCGCUCGCUUCCUGCCUAUGGGAAAGCAACACUUUACAAAGGAAAUUAGACUUUGGAAACGGUAUAGGCUUCAGUAGAGGUGAGAGGGGGUGAUUUGUUCUCUCCAUGGUUAGCAUUCUGUUACCUUUCUAGCUCCCAGCGAGAUAAACCAGACUGUACCAAUUUGCAUAGUUGUCGGCCUCAGUUCAGGUCUUUGUGGCAGAUCCCAACAGGAAGAGACCGCCCUAGCAGGAGGAAGAAAGAUUUUUCUCUUCUCUCAGCAACAGUCCAGCCAAUGAGAGACUGUCACAACUCAGCCAAUGAAAAGUCAGCAUACUUUGAACUUCCUGUUUACUCCAUUGGACUUUGUGUUUAUAAGGGCUUCUGCUAGCCUUCCCUUUUCCUCUAUAAAGUAGCUAUCCUCUCACUUG